rnacentral:rRNA from 1 species
UCGAGAAUUUUUCACAAUGGGCGAAAGCCUGAUGGAGCGACGCCGCGUGGGGGAUGAAUGGCUUCGGCCCGUAAACCCCUGUCAUUCGCGAGCAAACGUUAUUAUUUAAAAGAUGAUAGCCUGAUAGUAGCGAAAGAGGAAGGGACGGCUAACUCUGUGCCAGCAGCCGCGGUAAUACAGAGGUCCCAAGCGUUGUUCGGAUUUACUGGGCGUAAAGGGUGCGUAGGUGGUGGGGUAAGUCGGAUGUGAAAUCUCCGAGCUCAACUCGGAAAGUGCAUUGGAAACUACCCUGCUCGAGGGUUGGAGGGGGGACUGGAAUACUUGGUGUAGCAGUGAAAUGCGUAGAUAUCAAGUGGAACACCAGUGGCGAAGGCGAGUCCCUGGACAACUCCUGACACUGAGGCACGAAAGCUAGGGGAGCAAACAG